UUCACAACUAAUGAAGAUUUCCCACAUGAGACAACUGCAUCAGAAACAAUGUUCAAAGUUUAGGAAUGUGAAUUGAGUUUAGUUGAUACUUUGGAAGGGAGGCGUGUUCAUUUAGAUCAGUCCACUCUUGUUGAGGGUCUGUUCAUUUAGAUUAAUCGACUCAACAAGGGAGGCGUGUUCAUUUAGAUCAGUCCACUCUUGUUGAGGGUCUGUUCAUUUAGAU